GAUGAACGCUGGCGGCGUGCCUAAUACAUGCAAGUCGAGCGAACAGAUGAGGAGCUUGCUCCUCUGACGUUAGCGGCGGACGGGUCAGUAACACGUGGAUAACCUACCUAUAAGACUGGGAUAACUUCGGGAAACCGGAGCUAAUACCGGAUAAUAUAUUGAACCGCAUGGUUCAAUAGUGAAAGACGGUUUUGCUGUCACUUAUAGAUGGAUCCGCGCCGCAUUAGCUAGUUGGUAAGGUAACGGCUUACCAAGGCAACGAUGCGUAGCCGACCUGAGAGGGUGAUCGGCCACACUGGAACUGAGACACGGUCCAGACUCCUACGGGAGGCAGCAGUAGGGAAUCUUCCGCAAUGGGCGAAAGCCUGACGGAGCAACGCCGCGUGAGUGAUGAAGGUCUUCGGAUCGUAAAACUCUGUUAUUAGGGAAGAACAAAUGUGUAAGUAACUAUGCACGUCUUGACGGUACCUAAUCAGAAAGCCACGGCUAACUACGUG
rnacentral:rRNA from 1 species